rnacentral:tRNA from 1 species
CGGGAUGUAGCGCAGCCCGGUAGCGCACGUCGUUCGGGACGACGGGGUCGCUGGUUCGAAUCCAGUCAUCCCGACCA